UUCCAGACUUUCUGUCCACACCUACUAUAUGUAACAUUAUACGUGUCAUCUUAGUUGUUUGUGUCCCUUUGGUUAUUUUUCUUCUUUGUCGAAAAGAAAGAAAAGGGACAGCUGCUACUCAAAAUGGAUUAGUUGCUUUAAAUGUUGAAACAGAACAAGAAAGACAUGUUACCUCAACCCUUGAAGAAUAAUGAGAACAGGAUCAGAAUGAUGACACCAUUACAUAUGCAACAGAACAGCCACAUCAAGUUGUUUCACGGCUCAAGAACGUUGUUCAGGAAGAUUCAGCAGAGUACAAGGCUGUCUGUUUCAAGUGUGUGCCAGAUAAUGAUAUCACCUAUGUUACUGUGAACACUGUCAAGUUAUGUACAACUGCUAAAAUACCAAUGUAUUAUAUAGAGGACCAUGGUAUAGAAUAUGCUGCAAUUACAAGGCAAAACAAAAAUAUUAAGAAGCAAAGGCAUUAAUCAAUAUUUGCUGCAGACUGCUCUUACACUGUCUACUAAGCAUAUAUAUCAUGUAUAAAACAUGACAAUAACAUAUGUUUAUCAUGUCAGCAUUUUUUUAUUAUGACAAAUUACAUUUUUUUCUUUCUACAAAAUGCCGAUUAACCAACUGAAUAAGAAAAAGGUCAUGAAGUAGGAAUAUCUUAAUGAAGAAGUAAAGCUAAGAUAGAGUAUUAGGAAGGUAGGAACAAAAAGCUAGAUUAGCAGGCAGCUAAAGUAGUAAGGAGGAGAACUGAGGAACAGAGAUGGGACUCUUUCUUUGCCAUCCAUACUUUUGAGACUUCCGGUGUUUCUAAUAGACAGAAUGCAGGAGAGCUCUCAGGCUAGAAGUCUAUACCUGCAGCAGAAGAUGACCCUGGUCAAUACUGGAUUCCCAGCCAUUUUGGCCUUGUGGAUCUGUGGGAUCAUAGUACCCUCAUACUGAGUCAAGACUAUGAUAAAUCUGAAAACAGUCGAGUGGCAUUACAUUUUAAAAGAAGGAUGAGGCAUGUAAAGAAUUUGGGGUAGGUGGGACAGAAUGUCUGAGGAUUACAAAGGUUUGAAUGAAAAUUACUAAGGGACUUUACCUGCCUGCUGCUGUUGGCACUUCAGUUAAUAGAUUACUUACACAUUGGUAAUACAAUGGGUACUCUGCUGCAAUGAGCAC